rnacentral:rRNA from 1 species
CUACGGGCUGCUGCAGUGAGGAAUAUUGCACAAUGGGGGGAACCCUGAUGCAGCAACGCCGCGUGGAGGAUGACGCAUUUCGGUGUGUAAACUCCUUUUAUAUGUCAAGAAAAUGACGGUAGCAUAUGAAUAAGCACCGGCUAACUCCGUGCCAGCAGCCGCGGUAAUACGGAGGGUGCAAACGUUACUCGGAAUCACUGGGCGUAAAGGACGCGUAGGCGGGUUGGAAAGUCAGGUGUGAAAUCCUACAGCUUAACUGUAGAACUGCACUUGAAACUUCUAAUCUAGAGGAUGGGAGGGGGAGAUGGAAUUAGUGGUGUAGGGGUAAAAUCCGUAGAUAUCACUAGGAAUACCUAAAGCGAAGGCGAUCUCCUGGAACAUUACUGACGCUAAGGCGUGAAAGCGUGGGGAGCAAACAGGAUUAGAUACCCUAGUAGUC